UACAGAGGGUGCUAGCGUUGUUCGGAAUCAUUGGGCGUAAAGGGCGUGUAGGCGGUUUGUUAAGUCAUGUGUGAAAAUCCCUCGGCUCAACCGGGGAACGACGCAUGAAACUGGCAAGCUAGAGUACCAAAGAGGGGGGGUGGAAUUCCCGGUGUAGCGGUGAAAUGCGUAGAUAUCAGGAGGAACACCGGUGGCGAAGGCGGCAUCCUGGACCGGCAUUGACGCUGAGGCGCGAAAGCCAGGGGAGCAAACGGG
rnacentral:rRNA from 1 species